UGCUCUGAACCUAUUCUAUGAAAAACGAUAUAGUUCUCUUGGUGCAGCUGUGAAUUAUAAGUAAAUCUUGUUAACUAUGUGCCUAAUUUGCCAUGUGACAGAAUGCAAAGGCUCUACCCUGGCUUAAUCAGUCAGUCAAAUGCUUACUGAAGUAUCUGGGGGCCCACCCCUACCCAGGUGAAAAGGCUUUAGGUAAUAAGGCCAGACUCCUAUCUGACAGCUAAGGAUUUACACCUGGGAUAACUACUAAAAUGGCUCAUUGAUGGGAAGAUGGUGGAAGAGUGGCGUUGAGCAGUGAAAGAAAGAGAGGGUAAAAGACAUGGCUUUCAGAGAUACUCCAAAGCAUUCUAUGUAGUCACCAGCUGAGGACCUACUUCUGGUGCCAAGCUGAGUGAGGACAUCGCUCCUCGAAAAGUAAGACAAGUAGCCUGCGAGGAAUGCCAUAAGCUUUUUCGCUUGGGCAAAUGUAUGGUACAGUGGCAGCCUCUGGGAGCUUGGGCUCCUGAGACUGAAACCAUUUCACUGAGAGGGCAGAAGAAGCACGCAGAGACAGCAGAGGUAGAUGAAGAAGGACCAUGGAGGCUGGGCUUAUAGGGAUGGAUAGGAAAAACAGGGAGCAAUUUGAAUUCUUCUGGACACUGGAGGAGAGGUCUCUCCAGCGUGAAGUGGUUCGUGGACAUAGAGUCAUGCCAAAGGGAAUGGGAGCAUUCCCUAAUGGAGAGGCCAUUGAACUGGAGGCCAAAAGAGUGCAGUGUCUACCUGAUGCUGAAACACCAGAGCCAGCCCAUCAGCUGCCACUGCCACCUUCUCCCCUCUGCCACUCCUGACUGAGCAGGAGGAAAACACCAAGUCUCCAAA